AAAAAAUUAGUUAAGAAUAAUAUAAUUUUGUCAGAAUUAAGUCAUCAUAAGAUAUUUUUUA
rnacentral:tRNA from 1 species